rnacentral:rRNA from 1 species
GAUGAACGCUGGCGGCGUGCCUAACACAUGCAAGUCGAGCGAUUCUCUUCGGAGAAGAGCGGCGGACGGGUGAGUAACGCGUGGGUAACCUGCCCUGUACACACGGAUAACAUACCGAAAGGUAUGCUAAUACGAGAUAAUGUACUUUUAUCGCAUGGUAGAAGUAUCAAAGCUCCGGCGGUACAGGAUGGACCCGCGUCUGAUUAGCUAGUUGGUAAGGUAACGGCUUACCAAGGCGACGAUCAGUAGCCGACCUGAGAGGGUGAUCGGCCGCAUUGGAACUGAGACACGGUCCAAACUCCUACGGGAGGCAGCAGUGGGGAAGUAAUUGCACAAUGGGCGAAAGACCUGAUGCAGC